GAUGAAGAACGUAGCGAAAUGCGAUAAGUAAUGUGAAUUGCAGAAUUCAGUGAAUCAUCGAAUCUUUGAACGCACAUUGCGCCCGCCAGCACUCUGGCGGGCAUGCCUGUCCGAGCGUCAUUUCAACCCUCGCGCCGUCCCUCCAGGGGGCUCGGCGCGGUGUUGGGGGACACGGCCCCGGCCGCCCCCGAAAUGAAGUGGCGACCCCGCCGCGGCCCCUCCAGCGCAGUAAGCACGCUCGCUACGGGAGGCCCGGUGGACGCGUCCGCCGUAAAACGCCCAACUCUUCAGAAGUUGACCUCGGAUCAGGUAGGGAUACCCGCUGAACUUAAGCAUAUCAAUAAGCGGAGGA
rnacentral:misc_RNA from 1 species